GUAAGUUAAAAAAUUAAAACAAAAUCUUCAAACUCAUUCCUUUCCUCCUUUGCAUUCACGAACAUGGCACCUCCUCUCUCUCCACCUUCUCCGCGUUCCAUCUGAUAUUUUUCUCUGUUCUUUUUUUUUUUUUUCAAGAAAAAAACUGCAAACACAAACAGACCGUACUAGUCUAAAUAUUAUCUUUACCUUAGCGAUCCACAGAAUUAUUGAAUACACGAGAAAAACCCCAGUCCUUCUCCUCUUUAACGUCUUCUUCAACCGCUACUUGACAGCAGUGAUCAUUGUGCUCGACGAUCUUAUCAUUAAAGUAGCAGUAGAAAUAAUUUUCCAAUGUUCGGGUUUAAUUACGUUUGCUGAUAUUGAUGAAGCAUUUUCGUCGAUGCUCGAGGAUUUUGAUCCUCUCCUUGCUCGUCGUUACUGUCUUCAUUCCAAUCGGUUUACUUUCUCAUCGACUGAAGCACCUCAACGCCGACGCUUCUGGAGGAUUUGAAGAUUUGUCGAUAAUUAAACACAGGACAGAGGCUCAAAAACUUAGUGCAAUUAAAGAGGAUGACGAUGAAUUUGUUAAAGUGCCAGUUCAAGAGGUUUACAAAUACCCAGAUCAUAUUUCCGCUGUUAGUUUGACCUCUCCUGGCGAGAACAAUAGUCUUAGUGAUCCAGGAGAUGGUGUAGGUGUCACUUAUUUGUCAGAAAGAAAUGGAACCAGUGAUGAAGCAAAAGAAGAUUAUCAUCAAAGUCAAGAGGAGAAGUCACUGUCAGGAGUUAAGGAUCGAUCAACACCAACAAGGAUCCAACAACAUCAGACUGUUCAAGUCGGUUCUCGAAGGGUACAUGAUGAGAAGGUGAAACAGAUGAAAGACCAGGUGAUUAGGGCUAAGGCAUACCUAACCUUUGCUCCGCCCAGUAGCAACUCUCAUUUUAUAAAAGAGUUGAAAUUGCGAAUUAAGGAGUCGGAAAGAGCAAUUGGUGAUUCCACCAAGGAUUCUGAUUUGUCUAAGAGGGCAUUGCAGAAGAUGAAAGCCAUGGGUGCUACCUUGCUAAAAGCAAGUCAGCUUUACCCUGAUUGCUCUGCCAUGGUGAAAAAACUCCGUGCCAUGACUCACAAUGCUGAAGAACAAGUUCUGACACUGAAGAAUCAAACAACAUUUCUUGUUCAGCUUGCUGGAAGGACUACCCCAAAGGGCCUGCACUGCCUCUCCAUGCGGUUGACUGCUGAAUAUUUUAGCCUGCAGUCUGACGAGAGGGAGCUCCCUAACCAACAUAAAGUCCAUGAUCCAAAUCUCUUUCACUUUGCUGUUUUUUCAGACAAUAUUUUGGCUUCUGCAGUGGUUGUCAACUCAACUGUUUCAGUUGCUAGGGAACCAGAGAAGGUCGUUUUUCAUGUAGUGACAGAUUCUCUUAACCUCCCAGCAAUGUCAAUGUGGUUCCUGUUAAAUCCUCCUGGGAAAGCAACAGUCCAGGUCCAGAAUGUGGACAACUUUGAAUGGUUAUCGACCAGAUAUGGUGCUGUUUUGCAGAAGCAAGACUCCCUUGAUUCAAGAUAUACUUCUGCGCUGAACCACCUUCGUUUUUAUCUUCCAGAUAUUUUUCCUUUCCUGAAAAAGAUUGUGCUUCUUGAUCAUGAUGUGGUUGUGCAAAGGGAUCUAACUGGUCUUUGGAGUUUAAACAUGAAAGAUAAAGUUAAUGCUGCUGUGGAGACUUGUCAGGAAGGCGAGCCUUCUUUCCGUAGGAUGGACAUGUAUAUUGACUUCACACGUCCCCUGGUGGCCCAAAGGUUUGAUGCAAAUGCAUGCACCUGGGCAUUUGGGAUGAACGUGUUUGAUCUGCAAGUAUGGAGGAAACGGAAUUUAACUGGGGUCUAUCACAAGUACCUGCAUCUGGGAAACAAGAGGCCAGCGUUUAAAGCUGGUAGUUUGCCCAUUGGUUGGAUGACUUUCUACAAACAGACAACAGCUUUAGAGAAGAAAUGGCACAUUCUUGGGUUGGGUUACGAUUCUGGUGUCAGGUUGAGUGACAUUGAACAAGGAGCUGUUAUUCAUUUUGAUGGAAUAAUGAAGCCAUGGUUGGAUAUAGGUCUUGAUAAGUACAAGCAGUUUUGGAAGCGCCACGUCCUGUACGAUCAUCCGUACCUCCAACAGUGCAACAUCCAUGCGUAACCGGAUAUCACACAUUAAGUUCUGACCGUCGUCUUAAUCACGUGAUUUGCUUCACAAAAGGAUGCAGGGCCACUGCAUGAUCAAGUAGAUGCUAUCGCGAAAACUAUAGAACCUCGUGGAAACCCCAUAUUCUUGCAGAGUAUAUACAUUCACAACUAAAAAAUACAGUUUCAUUUCGAGAAAGGGCUAUUGAAUUAAUUGAACAAGGAAACACAAAAGGAAUUCAAGUCGAAACUGCAGCUACAGAAAAGAAAUGCAAGCGCGUGAUGGGUCAGAAAAGGAAUGGUCAGUUCAUAGCUGCAUGUUGUUCAAGUCAGAGAUGUUGUUGCCUUGCAAGAUGACACGAGGCAUUACAAUUUAGAUCACAUAAGAAAGAUUUUCUUCUUUUUGUUUACGAGUGGUGGUGGAACUAGUUCCAAUAGAGUACCCAAUCCGGAGGGACUUUGGACUAGAUGGGCGUAACUAAUUUGAGCAUGGGCCUCAAUGAGUGUAAUCCCCAAAUUUUCCACCAGAAAAUGGGAAUAGUUGGGUAUGAGCCCGACUCACAGGGGCUCGAUAGAUAAAUUAAGUCUACUGGGAAACAAGACAAGGUCUACCCAUUCAUAAACGAGGGGCAAAAAACCCCACAUAAAUGGUUUUUCCUAAAUAUCUCUUCUUUUUUGGUAUCCUUUCCCAUUUGGUUCGUUGCUUCGGACCUUCAAUAGGCACAAAAUCGACGCGGGGAUGUGCCUUCAUGGACUCAAGGAAGUUCGGAACCGAAAGGCUGGAUUCCUCCCACCGUGCGUGUGUGUGUCUGUCAUCCUUUUUUCAAACAUUAUUGAUUGGGGUUCAUCUUUUCAAUUUUCCUUUUUGAUGAGGGGCUAUCUGCGUAUCCAUGCUGUGUGGUUCAGCCGCGGGGAGACCUGUAAAUGACAACCUGUUCGCAUCAAUGUU